GACGAACGCUGGCGGCGUGCCUAACACAUGCAAGUCGAACGGGGUGAUUUGCUUCGGUAAAUCACUUAGUGGCGAACGGGUGAGUAACGCGUGAGGAACCUGCCUUUCAGUGGGGAACAACAGUUGGAAACGACUGCUAAUACCGCAUAACGCAGCGAGACCGCAUGGUACAGUGUGAAAAACUCCGGUGGUAUGAGAUGGACCCGCGUCUGAUUAGCUAGUUGGUGGGUAACGGCUCACCAAGGCAACGAUCAGUAGCCGGCCUGAGAGGGUGAACGGCCACAUUGGGACUGAGACAGGCCCAAACUCCUACGGGAGGCAGCAGUGGGGAAUAUUGCACAAUGGGCAAAGCCUGAUGCAGCGACGCCG
rnacentral:rRNA from 1 species